rnacentral:rRNA from 1 species
UUAGAGUUUGAUCCUGGCUCAAAAAGAACGCUGGCGGCGUGGAUAAGACAUGCAAGUCGAACGAGAGAAUUGCUAGCUUGCUAAUAAUUCUCUAGUGGCGCACGGGUGAGUAACACGUGAGUAACCUGCCCCCGAGAGCGGGAUAGCCCUGGGAAACUGGGAUUAAUACCGCAUAGUAUCGAAAGAUUAAAGCAGCAGUGCGCUUGGGGAUGGGCUCGCGGCCUAUUAUUUAGUUGGUGAGGUAACGGCUCACCAAGGAGAUGACGGGUAGCCGGUCUGAGAGGAUGUCCGGCCACACUGGAACUGAGACACGGACCAGACACCUACGGGUGGCAGCAGUCGAGAAUCAUUCACGGUGGGGGAAACCCUGAUGGUGCGACGCCGCGUGGGGGAAUGAAGGUCUUCAGAUUGUAAACCCCUGUCAUGUGGGAGCAAAUUAAAAAGAUAGUACCACAAGAGGAAGAGACGGCUAACUCUGUGCCAGCAGCCGCGGUAAUACAGAGGUGUCAAGCGUUGUUCGGAAUCACUGGGCGUAGAGCGUGCGUAGGCUGUCUCGUAAGUCAUGUGUGAAAGGCGCGGGCUCAACCCGCGGACGGCACAUGAUACUGCGAGACUAGAGUAAUGGAGGGGGAACCGGAAUUUUCGGUGUAGCAGUGAAAUGCGUAGAUAUCGAGAGGAACACUCGUGGCGAAGGCGGGUUCCUGGACAUUAACUGACGCUGAGGCACGAAGGCCAGGGGAGCGAAAGAGAGUAGAUACCCCUGUAGUCCCGGCAGUAAACGGUGCAAAAAGGGUGUGCGGGGAAUGGCCCCCCUCCGUGCCGGAGCUAACGCGUUAAGCGUGCCGCCUGGGGAGUACGGUCGCAAGAUUAAAACUCAAAGAAAUUGACGGGGACCCGCACAAGCGGUGGAGUAUGUGGCUUAAUUCGAUGCAACGCGAAGAACCUUACCUGGGCUUGACAUGUAAUGAACAACAUGUGAAAGCAUGCGACUCUUCGGAGGCGUUACACAGGUGCUGCAUGGCCGUCGUCAGCUCGUGUCGUGAGAUGUUUGGUUAAGUCCAGCAACGAGCGCAACCCCUGUUGCCAGUUACCAGCACGUGAAGGUGGGGACUCUGGCGAGACUGCCCAGAUCAACUGGGAGGAAGGUGGGGACGACGUCAGGUCAGUAUGGCCCUUAUGCCCAGGGCUGCACACGUACUACAAUGCCCAGUACAGAGGGGGCCGAAGCCGCGAGGCGGAGGAAAUCCUAAAAACUGGGCCCAGUUCGGACUGUAGGCUGCAACCCGCCUACACGAAGCCGGAAUCGCUAGUAAUGGCGCAUCAGCUACGGCGCCGUGAAUACGUUCCCGGGUCUUGUACA